UUACUACUUCCUCCGUUUCGAAUUACUCAUCGUAGAAAUGAAUAUAUCUAGAUGUACUUUAGUUCUAGAUACAUUCAUUUCUACGACGAGUAAUUUAAAACGGAGGGAGUAGUUA
rfam:Triticum urartu cultivar G1812 contig1138924, whole genome shotgun sequence.